GGGCGCGUGGUGGAAUUGGUAGACACGUCGGACUUAAAAUCCGCCGUCCGUAAUGGACGUGAGGGUUCGAGUCCCUCCGCGCCCACCA
rnacentral:tRNA from 1 species